ensembl:lncRNA
UAUUAGUCCAGAAUGCUUUUGAUAAAUAGUAAAAUCUCUUAUCAUUUGAAUCCUGCAUUUUUAAACUGAGCUAUUCAAAAUAGUCAAAGUCUAUUGAAAUGGAAAAGUUUAUCAUCUAUUCCAGAUACUAAAAUCAAUGUGCUCUUAAUGUUCUUAUUUACAGAGUUCCCAUGGUAAAGGAUUCUUUAACAAAUUGUUGAAAAUAAUUCAUAAUUCACAUUACUUUUUAUACAUAAGUAUGCAUUUCUGAUUUAUUCAGUUAUGAUGAAAGUACUGAAAUAGGCAAAGAAACAAAAGUGAGUAAAAUACACUCACAGUCUAGCAAAGAAGAGCGAUGGUAGUUAACUAAUCACAAAAAUUAAUAUAAAAUCGUCCAAGUGGUAAGGGCUGUAUAGAUGUAGUAUGCUGUGCUGUGCUGUGUUUAGUCACUCGGUCAUGUCCAACUCUUUGCAACCCCAUGGACUGUCGCGUACCAGGCUCCAUAAAGUAUCAUAAAUACAUCCAAUAGCGAUGAAAUCCCAUCACUGAUGACAUGGUACUUGAUUUAUGACUCAAAGAAUGAAUAAGAGAUAAUUAGUCAUGGGAUACAUGGGCGUGUUGAUUAAAGGGACAUGUCAAUGAUUGUUUUCUUAAGUAGUUCCCCUUGAAGUCAUAUUUAUACUGUUAAUUUGCUCAGUAAACUAUUUAUUCAAAUACAGGGAAAAUUCAUUUUAUCAAUUAUGAUUACAGAGCUUAAGUUGGCGAAUCCAGUGAAUAAAAUAUCAACAUAAUUAGAUGGGCAAAAGAUAAGAAUUAAAAACUUACAUGUAUCUCAGACUUGCUUUAUCUACCUCUGUAAUAGUUAACUUUAGUUCCCAAGUUUGUUUACCACUUUUAAUUUACAGACUGCUCAAACCUGAGGAUGUCCCAGGUGGCGCAGUGGUAAAGAAUCACCUGCCAACACAGGAGACACAAGAGACAUGGGUUUGAUCCCCGGGGUCAGGAAGAUUCCCCUUAGUAGGAAAUGGCAACUCACUCCAGUAUUCUUUCCUGGAAAAUUCCAUGGGCAGAGGACCCUGGCAGGCUACAGUCCAGGAGAUUGCAAAGAGUUGGACAUGACUAAGAAACUGAAUACACACGCACAUUCAAAUCUGAAGAAUUCGGCAGUGAAAUCAGAAUAAGAAAAUAUUCUAGGGAGCGAUGUGCUCAUAUUAGAAAUGAAUGUACCUAGCUUAAUCUCUGAAUCCUUCCUAAAGAAUUUUGUAAGUUCCUCUUUGUAUGUAAGUCAUAUUUGUGAAUGAGAAUGAUUCCCAAAGGUAGUUACCCAUCUGAGUAUGUGAUUAGAAUACAAAAGAUUACAUGUAAUACUCAAGAAUGAUUCACCUAUGUCAUCAAUCACGUUUGAAUGUUAUGUAACAUGGAAAUUUUUUCAUUAACGUUAAGUGGAAACUGCCUGCACUGACUGGGUUAGAUGACAUCCUUCCAAAAUUCAUGUCCUUUCCGAAACCUCAUAAGGUGACCUUAUUUGGAAAUUCAGCUAUUACAGAUGUUAACAGUUAAGACAUAAUACUGGAGCAGAGAAGGCCCUUAACGCCAUAUAUCUGUGUCCUUGAAAGAAAAGAAGAGAGAAACACAGGGGAGAAUGCCACACGAAGACAAGGGCAGAGACUGAAGUGACAUAUCUACGAGCUAGGGGACACCAAGAGUUGCUGGCAACCAUAAGAAGCGAGGGAGACGCAUGGAGUAGCUUCUCCCUCGGGGACUUUAGUAGUUGAGCUUGAGAAGCUGAACUGUUUUAGAGAUGCCCAGGACCUAGCCUCC